CCUGUGGUGCCCCGAGGGCUGCGACACCACUCGUGUCAUCAUCAUCUUCACCGGCAAUAUUUUCCGAUGACAACAGCGGUAUCGACCGCUAAAACACAACACGGACUCCAAGACAUGAUUGUCCCCACACGCACUGUUCAUUUACCAACCUAUACACAAUUGUAAUUGCCCAUUAACGCACCCGCUUAUCUCUCUAAGCCAAAAACACAAUCAACUGCGGCCAAAACACGAUCAACCGCGGAACAAAAUGUUAUGAAAACAAAGCUGCGUCACCGCGUGACAGCUACACUAGGAUUAAAAUCGACCUUAUUACACAUGUCGGUUAGGUAGAUUAUUGUAUGAGCUCGGUGUGAGUUUGAUGUAUGACUCACACGCCUGACGUAUUACCCUCGUGAUGUCUGUAUGUAUGUCAUGCCUAUAUAAAAAGCAUUCAUGCAGCCAAGAGAUCAGAUCAACCAGCACUCUGUUCGUUGCUGGACACUCAGUUGUCCUUCCCUAGACAACAUGGGUAGAACAUUCAUCGUUGCUACUGUGAGUAUGGAGUGAUGUGGUACCAUAGAGGAAAAGCGUAUCUAACAUAUCUAUUGUGUUCUAUUAUCUUAGUUUUACUUAGGAUUAUAUUUCUAUGAUACUUUAUUGUGUGAGUUUUUACUCAAUAUUAUACCAGUGUUAACGUCAGUAACCAAUAGUGAAAGAAAACCUGAAGACUCAUUGAGUCUAGUAAGCCAGUCGCUGGUUUAAACAAUAUUUUUACCCUCUGUAAUAUUAAGUAGUAUUAAGGUAGAAUAAAAUACAUAUAAGAAAGGCGACACCGUUUCAUCACCCCAUUUACGAACUCCUUUAAAUACUCCUAAAGUACCAGUAUUUUAAGUCAAGUGUUACAAGUGCAAACAGUGUGUCGUCGCCCCUGUGUGACCCGGGAUUGCGGGUUACAACAAUCCCUUACACUGAUAAACUCUGGAACAGCCUUCCUUCGUCUGCAUUUCCUCCUGCCUAUUAUUUGACCUUCAAGAAGAGUGUAUCAAGACUCUACUGUUGUCUGUUUGGGAGCGGUGAGUAGCGGGGCUUUUUUUUCUCGUACGCUUUGUUGCCCUUUGUUUAAAGAAAAUAAUAAUUAAAUACAUAGAAGUUGGCCGCCAAUGCUUCCAACACAUUUUGGUGCCAUGUCUUCAAGUGGCUGGUGACUGUAAGUAUCUCAGCAACCUGCAUGCAUCUAUGCCAUUCCUAUCACGGUGCAUGGAGCAAGCUUCACAUAACACUCAGACAGAGACGGUUCACUUAUGGUUAUACUUCAGACUCAGUUUAUUUCUUUGUCUAUUAGGUGCAGUGCUGUUAAUAUUGUUAGUGGUAGUAUUAGUACAGUUAAUGUAUUUAUUUUCAUUAAUUUAUCAGUAUUUAUUUAUUAUAUUAAUAGUGUUUGAAAAUUCUAAUACUAGUAUUAAGAUAAACAAAAAUAUCAGAAAUAUUUAUACUCGUUAAUUAUUAUUGCUUUUCUUAUUAUUAAUUCCUUCAAUGUCCUGGGACUUUGACAUCUAGUGUUUUUCCGUCUAGCAGCCAAAAUUGUGGUCUUUCUGAAUGUGUAUGUCCUAAGUCUUCAUUGGUGUAACUAGUUAUAUACCAUCAAAAUUUGCAUCUCUCUCCCUUCUCACCCUGUUGUCCCUGUAUAUCCUUUCAGUAUCCAAAGAAUUUCAAUUUACCUCUUGUAAUCACUUAACUAAUGCAGUCAGCGAGUAUACAACUUCACAUCAUACCUCGUAACUCUUCCUUCAAGAUCAUAACAUCACCUGGCCUCUUAAUUUCCUGGUGCACCAACAAACCCACUUGGCAAUCCUCAUCUCUAUAUUUUACCGUGUGGACAUACUCUUUCCUUCCAUGUUCCACUGUCGUAUGUUAUUCCACAUCUAACACAACUACAUCCCAACAGAUCCGAACACGUUCGGUAUCAUCCAAGAGAAUGUGGCAGCUGAAGAGGAGAGCCCAAGAAAGAGACCAAGGGUGAAGCUGAAUGAAGACAUUUAGCCACCCCCUGAGGGUGUGAACUUGAUGGGAUUGGAGAAAACUCGACUCGGCCAUCAAGCUCACCACAAUAUAACAUGAAAAGUGAAAAUUGCUGCACAAAACAGUCUGUCGUCUGCGCCGGGAGGCAAGGCAUCUCAAAGCCCAGGCUGUUACAACUCCUGGGCAGUUUUUGCCCAGAGUCAGCAUUUUUUUUGAUUCAAUAGGAUGGAUUUUUUCUAAGGUCAGGUUCAACAUGCUGCAAGAUGCCAAGAUCUAAGCCUAGUAGGAGAUAUGGGUUACAAGAGAGGAGGUUUGCUCUGGCCUUAUACUAUCAAAGUCCAAAUGCUAAUAGAUUUCUAAGCACAGUAUUUCACUUGCCUUCAGUUUCAACACUUCACUCAUGACUCAGGGGUAUUUCAGUAAACGUUGGCUGGAAAAAAACAGACUCUGACAGCCCUGCAACAAAGAGCACAGGCUUUGUCAAAAGAAGAGAUACUUCGUGAGAUUUGCCAUUAUUUAGUUUUACUCUUGUUACGACAAUAAUUUUUUCCAUAUACUUUGCCAAAUAUUGCAGGUAAUGCACCAUUGUUGGUCUUACCUGUUAUAAAUCAGAUAUUGUUCAAUUAACAAGCUUCGGGUGUCUGCCACUUUCCAGUUGUAAUGCAAGGAAUCAUUUAUCUCCCCUGCCAGAUAUCACAUGUAAUGCACCAUUGUUAGUUUUGCCUGUUAUAAAUCAGAUCUUGUUCGGUUAACAAGCUUUAGGUGUCUGCCACUUUCCAGUUGUAAUGCAAGGAAUCCCCUGCCAGAUAUCGCAUGUAAUGCACCAUUGUUGGAUUUGCCUGUUUUAAUCAGAUCUUGUUCAGAUCACAAGCUUUGAAUAUCUGCCAUUGUUUAUUUCAGUUGUAAUGCUUGGAAGCAUUUGUUCUCUGCCCUACCCAACAGUAUGGAAUGCCUUGUUAUGGAUUUUGCCUGUUAUAGUUAAUCUUGUUCAAGUAACAAGCUUUUGGUAUCUGCCUUACCUAAUAAUGUGCUGCAAUGACACUUGGCUUGGUUUCAUAAUGUGAAAUACAGCAUGUAAUUUCAUCACACUAAGUGUCUAUCAUCACGUGUCUGGCACUAUUAUCCAGGAGUAAUCUUGUUUGUAUUACAGCAUGCAAUGUUUUUUUUUCUGCUUUAUAUUAUAUACAUAAUCACAUAGGUAUGAUUUUUUUUUGACAAAAUGUAAUGGCAGUUGAUAUUCUUGACUAAUGCCUCAUAAACCUUGUGAAAAAUAAUGCCUUUUUUGAGGGAAGUCGGGGGUGGACAGAGAGUGGUUUGUUUGGUUGGCCAGUUCAAAUCAUUAAAAAAUAAACAUUGAAAAUCUUUGUAAACAUGAAAUAAUAGGAAUGUUUUACUAAAAUUAAUGCAUAUAUGUACUUUGUGGUGAAAUAAUAAUUUCCGUUCAAAAACAAACACUAGACACUCACUGUAAACAUUAAAUUAUAGUACAUUUUAAUAAAAAGCUAAUGCAUAUAAUUUGUGCUAAAAUAAUCUAUUUCUUUAAAAAAUAAAUACUAGCAACUUUGUAAACAUGAAAUAAUAGCGACAUUUUAAUACAGACCUGAGAUAAGUAA